rnacentral:rRNA from 1 species
GAUGAACGCUGGCGGCGUGCCUAAUACAUGCAAGUCGAGCGAACGGACGAGAAGCUUGCUUCUCUGAUGUUAGCGGCGGACGGGUGAGUAACACGUGGAUAACCUACCUAUAAGACUGGGAUAACUUCGGGAAACCGGAGCUAAUACCGGAUGAUAUUUUGAACCGCAUGGUUCAAAAGUGAAAGACGGUCUUGCUGUCACUUAUCGAUGGAUCCGCGCUGCAUUAGCUAGUUGGUAAGGUAACGGCUUACCAAGGCAACGAUGCAUAGCCGACCUGAGAGGGUGAUCGGCGACACGAGAACUGGGACACGGUCCAGACUCCUACGGGAGGCAGCAGUAGGGAAUCUUCCGCAAUGGGCGAAAGCCUGACGGAGCAACGCCGCGUGAGUGAUGAAGGUCUUCGGAUCGUAAAACUCUGUUAUUAGGGAAGAACAGAUGUGUAAGUAACUGUGCACAUCUUGACGGUACCUAAUCAGAAAGCCACGGCUAACUACGUG